rnacentral:rRNA from 1 species
CAAUAACAUGUAGCAUGGGAUAAUGGAAUAGGACCCUGUCUUCCUAUUUUCAGUUGGUUUUGGCAGCGCGAGGACUAGGGUAAUGAUUAAUAGGGAUAGUUGGCGGCAUUAAUAUUUAAUUGUCAGAGGUGAAAUUCUUGGAUUUAUGAAAGAUUAACUUCUGCGAAAGCAUCUGCCAAGGAUGUUUUCAUUAAUCAAGAACGAAAGUUUGGGGAUCGAAGACGAUCAGAUACCGUCGUAGUCUUAACCAUAAACGAUGCCGACCAGCGAUUAGGAGACGUUGAAUACAAAUCACCACCAUCGGCGCGCUCGUCCUUGGCGUCUCGCGUUCGCGCGCGGCGCGAGGGCGGCUUACCCCGGUGGCACCGGUGAAUGACUCCCCUAGCAGCUUGUGA